rnacentral:rRNA from 1 species
UACGAAGGGGGCUAGCGUUGCUCGGAAUCACUGGGCGUAAAGGGUGCGUAGGCGGGUCUUUAAGUCAGAGGUGAAAUCCUGGAGCUCAACUCCAGAACUGCCUUUGAUACUGAGGAUCUUGAGUACGGGAGAGGUGAGUGGAACUGCGAGUGUAGAGGUGAAAUUCGUAGAUAUUCGCAAGAACACCAGUGGCGAAGGCGGCUCACUGGCCCGUUACUGACGCUCAGGCGCGACAGCGUGGGGAUCAAACAGG